CUCCUCUGUGGCACUCCUUCCAGUAUUCUCAUCACACACAGAGCAGUCUGUGGCCCUCACCAUGGCCCGCAAGGCUCUGUGUGAACUGUCUUCUGGCUAACUCUCCAACCCGGCUUCCUAGCGCGCUCUCUCUAACUCUGCUCCAGCCUCAGAGGCUUCCUGACUGUUAUUGGAACUUUCCAAGCACGUUCCAGCUUUGCGUCCUUUAUACGUGCAGUUCCCUCUCCCUCCAAAUAUCUGUAGAGUUCAUUCUCACUUCCUCAGGCCUCUGCCCACAUGUCACCUUAUCAGAAAGGCCUUCCUUGAUGACCUUACAUAAAAUAACACCCCCAAUCACUCUCAAUCCUCCAUUUCAUUUUUCUUCUCACUGACAGAUUCUAUAUUAUUCCUUUCCUUUUGAUUGCCUCUCUCCCCACAAUGGAAGCUAAGCUGUAUGAGAGCAGACUUUGUUUUGUUUUGUGCUGCAUCCCCAGAACCUGGCACAUACUAGGUGCUCAAUUAAUAUUUGCUGACUACAUGAAUGUGUGUUGCCUCUGUAUGAAAUGGCAGGAAAGAGCCUCCGUAGACAUUCCAGCCCUGAUGGCUCACUGACCAGUAUUUAUUUUACACAAGCCAAAGUGAUGAGCAGUGAAUAGGAGAAUCAGGUGGUCUUUUGGGGCCCACCCCCUUCAUAUAUGUGCCUUGAAGACCAACGCUGUUUCAUCUGUGGCAGUGACAUGCCUGCUUUUACACUGCUUCGUGCCAUAGUUGCAAUGUUGUCUGGAAUUCCCGUGGCAGUUUUGCAAUAUGAUGAAUUUUGCUCACAUAGAUAGGUAUCGGUCACAGAUAAAGAUCACUCAUGGUUUAUAUUUAGUACCACCACAACAAAGUGAAAGUUGGAGGUGUGCUACCUAAUUGUUCCCAGACUAUGAAAGCAAAAACACAAAGUCUGCUAGCACUGAAUCACUCUUUCCCACCUGGCUUCUCCCUACCUUCACCCUCCCUUUCCUGAUUCUGUUCCUGUCGUAAAGUAUGGUAGCUUAGUAAAGGGCAGAGUCACACUGGGCAUCCAGGGUUCCAGUCCCAACACCACCACUUAUUCACUGUGAGAUCUCAAGCAGGUUAACUCACCUCCCUAACCCUCAGUGUCCUCCUCUGUAAAAUGGGCCUUGACAACACGUACUCAAUACUAUGUGUUGAAUGAAAGAUGGCAAAAUGCAACACCGGGGUAGAGUGGUAGCCCGCAGUAGUGCUAGCACCUUCCAUGCCUACUGAUUUACAUGACUGUGAUCUUUUAUUUUUUAUUUUUAUUGUUUUUAAAUUUAUGACGGUGAUGUUUUGAUAUCGUUUCUUUGGCUUUGGCCAACCUUUAGGAUAGACAACCCAGCUAAAACUGGAGACAAGGCCUUUCAGAAUCAGUACUUCAUAAGGCUUUCAUGGAGGUCCCACUGUUUGCAUGGUGGGGUAGAAGAUUCUGGGGCAGGCAGGUGGGUGGGUGGGAUAUCAAGGCACAGAAGCACAGUUUUGCUCCUCUUAGUUUGAUAGGGCUGCUGUAACAAAUGCCACAAGCUUGCUGGCUUCAAACAACAGAAAUUUCUUCUCGCACAAUUCUAGAGGUCAAAAAGUCCAAGCUCAAGGUGUCAGCAGGGCCACACUCCCUCUGAAGGCUCUAAGGGAGGAUCCGUUCUUUACCUCUUCCAGCUUCCUGUGACUCCUGAUAACACUUGGCUUUCGGCAGCAUCUCUCCAAUCUCUGCCUCCAUCUUCGCCUGGCCUUCCCCUCUGGGUAUCUGUGUGUCUCAAAUCUCCCUCUUCUUUCUGUUAUCAUCCACUAGUCAUUGGAUUUAGGGCUGACCCUAAAUCCAGAAUGAUCUCAUCUCGAGACGCUCAACUUAGUUCUAUCUGCAAAAACCCUAUUUCCAAUAGGGUCAUAUUCCCAAAUCCUCAGGGUUGGACGUAUCUUUUGGGGGUGGGACACAGUUCGACCUACUACGGUGCCCUCCGGGAAUUUCAGUUAGGCAAAGGGACACAAUACACACACCUGAGCAACCAGUCUCAAGUAAAGAGUGAAACAACCCCUCCUGGAUGGUGGGUAGGAGGUGUGAUUCAUUCAUUCUUUGAUCCAGAAACAUUGCUGAAUGCUUGCUGAGCUGCAUGCAGGGAAGCAGAAACGCUAAGGCAUUCACAGACUGAUGGGGAUAGGAGGGGUGGAAGGGCGUGGUAUAUAGGGAGAGAGUAACGGGCAUUUCCAGCUCAGUGUGGUAGGGCUUGGAGGAGGUGGGUGCUGAAGCUUUGGGGGCUUAGCAGAAAGUUUGGGUUACAGCUCCGGAGGGGUGGUGGUCAGAGAAGUCUUCCCAGAGGGGGAAGGAUGAGGGAGUAGGAGCCAGCCAUUCCUGAAGGAUGAGGGAGUAGGAGCCAGCCACACCCAAAGUGGGAGGAGUUCUAGGAAGAAGGAAAGAAAGCCCAACCUCUGUGGGUCCUCCACAAAGUAGGGGGUGGUGGGCUAGAGAGGCAGGCAAGGGGUCAGAUUGUAUAGGGUGCUGUGAGCCAUCCGGAGAGAAGUGGAGAGCUAGGCAUGACCAGAUCUCCUAUUAAAAAUAAAAAGUAGAGAAAGCCUGUAGUGAAAAGUGAUUUUCCAGUAGAUCUAAAAAUUGUAUUUAUUAUGUUAUGUGUGUGUGUGUGUGUGUGUGUGUUUAAAAAGAAGUAUAACAUAUACACCGAAAAGUGCACAAGUUAUAAGAGUGCAGCUGGAUGCAUAAGUGAAUAGCCCUAACAGAGGCAGAAUAGAGUUCAAGGUGGGCCAAUGACUCACAAUUACUCUUGUUUGUCCUGUGGAGAAAUGACCCCCAUGACAGGAAGUUGCUGGGAUCUGGAAUAGGAAGACUUAGUUUUGAGCCCCAUAUCUAGUAUUUCUCUGCUGUGUGAUCUCAGGCAAAUGGCUAUACUUCCCUUAUCCUCAGUUUUACCAUCUGUAGAAUGGACUAACAGUAUCUACCUCAACAAGAUGGUGUGAAGGUGAAACAGGACAAAGGUGGGGAAAGCUCUCUGCAUUAUGCGAAAAAAAAGUGCUUGCGUGAUUCUCAAAUUCGAAUCUGUCUCAGAACUGGAUUUCUUCACUUUACCUUCUUCCUUCUCCACCUGACAGCGUUUCAGAUAAACGAGGAGGGGAGGAGGAGAGUUACCCUUUUUGCAGCACUUUUUGUUUGUCUGUUUCCCAUUCCAGAAUACCUAUUCCAGAUCUGGACUGUCACUCCUGUACCCUUCCAUAUUCCCACCUUCCUGCUUACUAUUGUCCUUCUCACCCAACCAGGCUCAAAGAGGCAGAGGGAAGAGGGUAGGGAGUUUGGGCCAUGGAAAGAGGUUUGAAGGUGAAGGUAAAUCCGAUGCUCCUUUCCCAGCCUUUGCUGAGGAUGGACUGUCCCAAGCUCUGCACAGGGCAUUUGGGAUCGUGGGUGGGAGGUGGGGAGACACAGAAGGGAAACAUAGUAUUCACACUCAGAGAAGUUAUUUGUUGAGGCAAAAUGGAAACAGGUCUGUAAGAAAGCAGAGUCAGCUAAGGUCAAGGUCUUGCUGUUAAGAGGCAAAAAGCCCCUAAGGAGUUGAGAAACAGAAGAGACCAUUAGGUAAAAGACCAUAAAGAAGGUGGGCACUAGACUCUCCCUCUCUCUUCCCUUUUCAGAUUCUUGGCAUUUCUGCAACAGAUACCUUUAAGCAUCUAUUGCAUAUCAGACCAUUCUUUUAUAUACGUUGUCUUAUAUGAUCCGUGCAAUAAGACCAAAAGCUGAGUAUUCUAAUUACCAUGUUUCGGAUGAGGGGGACUGAGAUGCCCAGGGACGUGCUCCCGAUCAUACCACUAUUAAAAGAAGGAAACAGCUUUGAACCCCCAUUCAUCCAGCUCCAAAGUUCCUGCUCUUUCCAGUCUGCUCUACCAUUUCACUGAAUGUACGUGGAAGGGCGCCACACGUUUUAUCGGGCUGCAUCGCAUUGCGUGCAUUUUUAGUAUUUGUGUGCACGUGUCAACAGGCAUGUCAACGUGCCUGCUGGGUGAGUCGUAACAAUUGUGUUUUGAGUGUCUAACUGCAUUAUUUUGCUGGCAAAACCUGGCUCAAGGAGAAGAGAAAAGGAAGCACAAAAGCCCACUGCAUGGGAGGCCAGACAGUGGCCUCCAAGUGAGGGCUGGUCCUUAAACAAACCAAUGGGAAGUGGCUCUGGGUAGCCCCAGUAGAACUUCACUUUGUUGGAGGGCCCCUGGGUUUUUCCAUGACUGUUCUAUUUCCAAAGCACAAUUCAUUUCCCAUUCUUUUUUUUUAAGAAGGAACUAAUAUUUGUUUAGCACCCAUUAUGUGCCAGGCAUAGUGCUGGGCACUUUACAUCUGUGAUAUCACUUAACUCCCACCAACCCUGCCAAGGGGCCACCAUUAGUGCCCCUGUGCAGCCCAGGAGACGGAUUCAGGAAGCUGGGGCCAUUUGUCCAAGAUCACUCGACUGGGGUGGAGCAGAACAGGGCCUCCUGUCUGGUGCUGUCCAAACAACAGGCUACACUGGCGUUUUAAAGUUAUUGGUGGGACAUUUUAUUUUUCAAUAAAGUUUUAAAUGAUCUCGAAUUCAUGAACCAGUAUGCUGGCAUACUCACUCUGCUCCUGUUCUUUUAGAGAAAGAAGGGCUUUAUCUUUUCAUUCCUGAGUAACUGGGCUGUUUUGUCCCAGAGAUAAGAAUCUUCACGCCAGGUCACUUGAGUGUGAUGUCUAGAGGGUAUAACAAUGGCCAUCCUUGCUCAUUUGACACUUCUUCUUUUUUUUUUUCCUAAGGCACUGGCCUCCUUUCAAGACCUUCCCCACCAUCACCAUAGUUAUGUUGUUGCUGAGGUAGCAUCAGCCAUGCCUGGGAAGGCAGGACCUGUGGCCUGGACGAGCCUGUGGUCAGAGAGAGUUGGUGUGCUCAGGGGUCCAAAGGGACCUCAGAUUUGUGACUAUGGGCUCUAAUAGUCUCCCAAAGUCCCCUGGUCCCCACUCACCAUGCCCCCCAUAGAAAGUAGAAGAUGUCCUCAGUGUCACUUGCGAACAUUUGACUUCUGAGACAAGCAUUUGGGCCACCAGCCCUCUUUAAGAGUAGAUGACAAUUUUGAAAACCUGAAUGGUCUUAAUUUUUUGCACUGGGCACACAGAUUGACCAAAGCUUCCAGAAGCAAGAAGAAUAAUAAAGAUGAAAGUUCUUGAAACCCUAGAGGCUGUCUUUUCAAAGCUCUUUCAAAGCUCAUAAAAGCAGUGAGCAGUGGGUAGAAGGAAUGGGGGAGAAUGAGCUCUGAGCACGGGCUGUGAUGGGGAAAGCCCAGGAUUCUGGCUGUGUGACCUUGGGGAUACUCCACUCACCUCUCUGAGCCCCACUUUUCUCCUCUGCCAUUUGCCCUUCCCUGCUGUCUGCUCCAGGUGGCUGCUGUGAGAAUUAGAGAAGAAUAUGUUUAUGGUUUGGGAGUAGGGUCUCAGUACAGAGAAGACGCUGAGGCAAGAGUCAGGAGGCCUGAGUUGUCCUUUAGGUCUGCCCUGGACUCUGUAUCUCCUUUCUCUGGGUCUCCUUUUCUGAAGAAUGAGGGGUUUAGAGUAAGUUUUACUUCCUCUGUGGUCUCUAUUGAUCUAACAUGCCAUGAUUCCUAUCUCUAAGUGGAGGAUUAACUUUUAAGAGAUGAAUGGAGCUUUUAAUAUUCAGCUAUUCAGUUGUUCAACAAACAUUUAUUAAAGGACAACCGUGUGUCAGGCACAGUGCUAGGUGAUGGGUAUAGAGUGACAGAACAGUUGCCGCCCGGCCCGUCAUGGAGCUUCUUGUCUAGUAUGAGAUAGUUUGGGGGAGCUUCCUCAUCUCAGAUAGUUGAAGAAGUGCCGGGGCUCCAAGGGGAACACUGUUAGCUGAAAGAGCAAUGUAACAGUAGCAAUAGAUGGGCAAAUAUUCAUUGAACACAUAAAUCAAUGCAAGCACCUUAGGGAAGCUCUUGGGGUGACCCUAGAGUUGAGGAGCAAUUCCUAGGAGUCAGGAAAGGUUGUGGGUGCUCCAGCCAAGGGUGUGUAUAAUUACUAAAUAGUUUUUUUGUCGAGACACCUGAGAACGGGAGGAUCUGUCCCUACCUGUCCAGUUCCCAAGGGAGCCAUUUACUGGGAACAAGGAACAAUGACAGCUUCCCAUGCCCUGGCUUUUCCCCAGAGUUGGAACCAGUGCAGAUGCUGGAAUCCAAGGGAGAAGAGAAGAGUGGCCAGAGAAAAAGGCCAGUGUUAGGAUGACAUUUGGGUCAAGCCCAGAGGAUCCCUCGAAGUUAUAGAGCCUCAUCUGUAUCCUGUUGAGAGAGAACUCGGGCCCAGUUGGUGCCUAAGGCCACAGGAGAGCUGGCUCUGGAGCCGUGGUCAGGAGGCUGUCUGGGGAAGCGGAAAGAACCUGGGCUUAGGAGUCGGAGACUGACUUGGGUUUGAAGGCUGUGGAACAUUGGGAAAAUCACUUAACCUCUCUGAACCAGCUUCCUCAUCUGCUAAGUAGACAUCACAAUGUUGGUUGGCUUCCCUAAGAUGUUAUGAGAUGUAAUCUGUCUCAGGCACCUAAAAUCAGUAGCUGUGACUAACUAUAGACUUGGUGAUUGGUAUUCAUAUACAUUCCAUUAUCAGGACCCAGGAUCUCUUUCUGUGCAAUAUGGAAAAGACAGUGCUAGAAACAACUUCAAUGAGACAUCUUAGAAGGAGGUUGUAUUAUCUUCAGUAUAAGUAAGAUAGUGAAACAAGAUGGGAUUUGGAGGGAUUUAGCUCUAGCAUAACUCACCCACUAGCCAGAUGUCUGACCUGAUAGGUAUUCUUGCCCUCUUUGAGACUUGGUUUUCUCCUCUGUUAAAUGGAGAAAAUCUUCAUGCUCAAACUUUUCUCAUCCAUCCAUUAAAUAUUUAUUGAAUGCCUGUUAUGAGCCACACCAUGCUAGGUGCUGAGGAAUAGGACACAGUCCCUGACCCUAAGGAGCUCACCAUCUAGUGGGACAGCCUGUUAAACAGAUACUUACAGAUACUUACAAUAGAGUGUGGUCAGGCUUAGCCCUGUCUGAGUGGACAAGGAAGGCUUCCUGGAGGAGGUGACAGCUAAAGCUGAGAGCUGAAGGAUGACUAGUAUUUAACCACAUAAAAGUAGGAAAGGAAGUGACGAGUUGGGAAGGGCAUUCCAGGAAGAAGAAACUGCAUAUACAAAGGCAAGGGCACAGCAGAUGUGAUAAUGUGGCUAGCUGAGUCUGCCUUUCCUCAGUGUGGACUCUGUAAAGGCAGUGGGAGACCACUGAGAGAUUUUAAGCAAGAGAGUUGGAGUAACAUCAUCACAUUUGCACUUUAGAAAGAACACUCAGGCUGAAUGUGCAUGUGUCAAGUUUUAUUAUGGACACAUAAUUAUUAUUGGGAUAAAUUGAUUCUUUCCUCUUCUUUUCCGUAACCACAUAAGAUGGCUCACAGAAGAUGAAAUAACCCUCAUGAGCAUGCCCUGGUGUAGGGUCUGGCACACAAUAGGUGUCCAAUUAUCAUAUAUUCCCCCCUUUUAAAAAAAUAGUCCCUGAAAGCACAAUCCCCGGCAUGCAGUGCGGGUUGGGGCAAGAGCGCUGAGGGUGUGGUUGCCUGCAUUUUCUGGCUGGUGUUCAGGCAGAGCUGACAGGAUCUAGGUCAAAGGAAGUUCCCCAGACAGUUCAGUCUUAACCAGUCAUCUGGGGUUUCAGGGAGGGCAGGUGAAGGUCAGAAUAUCUCCCCUAUUUCAGGAGGCCUCUCCUCCUCACGGUCCUGGUCUUGAAAACUUACCAGGCAUGAGCCAACCUGUUAAUUUGUCCAAAUCAGCUUCCUCAUCUGUAAAAUGGGUAUGAAGUUACUUGUGCUGCCACACUGGGGGUGGGGGUGGGGGUGGUUGUCGUGCGGACUGGAAGAAGUAUGUGAACCACAAACAGCAAAGUAACACGAUAGAUUUCACUAAUACCUACUGUGGGCCAGCCUUGUUCUAUGACGCUGGUAUUAUCCUUAUCCCUAUUUUACAGAUAAAGAAGGCAGAGUUCAGAGAAAUUAUGCAAAUCAUUCAGGGGCACAGAGUAAGUGGCUGUAGCCAGAGCCCUGAUGUUUUAAACACUACACCAUGAUACCGUAAACUGCUGUCCCUGGAGAACCACCAACUGCUCCUUGAGCUCUCAGCAUGAUGCAGGUACUCCAGAAAUGUGUGCGGAAAGAUGGAAGAAAGAAGGACAAGGGCAGCGUUCGAAGCCUGAGAAAGUUUUUCCUAAUGCUUCCUGACCCCACCUCUAACCAACUCAGGGUCUUCUCCCAGAUGUACUCCAGGAAAUGGUUCCUUUCCGGGCAUUAAAACGACCUGUUGCCUGUCUGACUCAUUAGGCUGGGACUGGUGAGGGCAGGCUCUGUGUCUGGGUCAUGGUGGUCUCCCUAGGGCCUAGCAGAGUGCCUGACACUUGAUAAAUAUGUGUGAAUAAAUUCUGUCCUUUGCCUGGA